UUUUCUGUAGCCUUGGGUUACAGGUUAUUGUUGCCAGCUUUGAUUUUAUUUGUAAACAAGCCCUGGAUACUCAGACAGCAGAUCUGGGAGAGGCUGCUGGGAAGCACAUCAAACACGCCAGCGCACCAAAGGGUGACUCCAGCGAGAGCAUCAGGGAACAAGGCUGUGGCCCCUGCCUGCACCCCAUUGCCCUCCAUGUCCGGCAUUGCCACGUGGGUGGGAGAAAUCACCUUGACCCUGAGAAGCUACGGGCAGCGCACAAAGCGAAGAGAGCUCGCUAGGCACUGCAGGGCACGGGAGGCGAGCACGGGCAGGUUCUUGGGCGGACUGGGGCGAGGCAACGUGGCAUUGCCAGUGGCAGCCCCAGCUGCAGACGCGGGCUUCUCCCCUGGAGCCUUUUCCAUCAGCUUCGCAAGCAGCUGGAUCAAUUUACUGCAGCGCUCUCCACAAGCACGGGCUAACUUAUCACUCAUGGAAAUCCCCUUGGUUUCAGGGAAUCAGGUAGCGUUCAGACUCCCAGCAGAGAGAGAGAGAGAGAGAGAGAGAGAGAGAGAGAGAGAGACUGCAAGGCUAAGGGCUUCCAAACAGGCUGUUUGGUUUGUAGUAAAUUAAAGGGAGUGGGUGGUUGAGGUAAGAGUAAUGUUAUCCUGUAGAGUGUGGUCCUCUUUGACGUCAGCAAAAUGUUUCUGUCUCUCCCUUCCCUCCUCUCUCCCCUUUCCCCCACCCCUACCCUCCUCUACUUCCUCCCUCCUCCCUCCCUCCCUCCUUUUGUCAGAGACGGAUGACAUAGAGGAGCUCUGGAAAACUGCUCAGAGUUUUGCAACAUAGCUCAGAAAAUUCCCACAUUUUCAAAAACGUAGGCUAUUGUGGGAGGCGGGUACAUCAGCAAGACAAAAAUACGUGUGACUCAGGGAAGGAAGAGGGGAAAGCAAACAGUAACCACGGCCGGCAGUGCAUUCCUCCCUUCCUCUUGCCUGAUUAGCAGUUCUGUCCCAGAGAACAUUCUUCCUGUGGCUGCAGCUGGCCUGAAAUAGUGUCCCGGAGAGCAUGCGCUCUGCUCCCCGGCUCUGUGGGACUCAGCCUGGGCUGCUGGACCAGGCAGGAUUUCUCCUCUCUCCCCAGCACACCACACCCACUCUGCACUGCAGUUGUUUUUUUCUGCUCAUCAAAGACAGCAGUGGUGCCCCCAGGUUGGCAUACAACUGUCUAGAACAAGGAUUCAAGGCUAGGCAGCUCUUUAAAAGCAGAAAUCUAGAGGCCUGUACUGUGGCACAGUGGGUUAAGCCACCACUGCAGGCAACAGUUCGAGUCCUGGCUGCUCCACUUCCAAUCCAGCUGCCUGCCUGGGAAUGCAGCGGAAGAUGGCCCAAGUCCUUGGGCCUCUGCACCCAUGUGGGAGACCCAGAAGAAGAUCUUGGCUCCUGGCUUUGGCCUGGCCCAGCCCUGGUUGUUGCAGCCAUUUGGAGAGCGAACCAGCAAGUAGACGAUCCCUCCCUCUCUAUCUCCCUCCUUUUUUUCCAUGUACCUCUGCCUUUCAAAUAAAUAAAUAAAUCUUAAAAAAAAAAAAAAAGAAA